GCUUUUUAGUUUAAUUAAAAUUUUUGUAUGUGGAGCAAAAGAUCUUGGAAGCU
rnacentral:tRNA from 1 species